UUAGAGAAUACCUUUGUCAUCGAAGAAUGUUGAAUCUAUUUUACCUACAUGUUGAGAAAAAGAAGGAUCAUCGAUUGUAUUUGCAGCAACAAAAGAUGGUUCACCUUCUAACUCGAAGUCAUCAAUCCAAGCAAGGAUGGCAAUUGCCAAUUCAUACAAAACUUGUAACAUAUAGGCAUCCUACCAUAUGUGGAGGCCCAGCUUUGCUAUUCAUAUAUGGAUGCCUGUAUUGAUGACGGGU
rnacentral:lncRNA from 1 species